rnacentral:lncRNA from 1 species
GGAUGGGAUCUCCCAAGGGCACUGAAGGUGAUGCCCCCGCAGCCCCCGAGCAGAAAUCCCGCAGGGCGCUGUCCGCUGAGAACUGGUAGGCACGAGGUGCUCCGAAGACUUCUGGGACUUGUAGUCCAGACGUCCAGCCGCGCGCGGCCCUUUAGGUGCUGUAGUCGGCGGCCAGCUCUGCGCACGCGCGCGGCGGGUGCCUCUGGGAAUCUAUGGGUAGCGGUGUGGCGCCAGAAGCGGAGCCCUGAGUACUGCGUCGGCUCGUGUUUGGAGUUUCCGUGCUCAGAGAGGCCCCUAAGUGUUUGGCGGAAAAGUAAACUUAAGUGUGCCGUCCCCCUCUCCACCAGGGCCUCGACUCCGGAGGGCCGGCGUGGCCCGGGGCCCAAACACACACGCUCCCUCCCCGGAGGAAGCCACGACUCGGGGAAGUCCAACAGGGCACCGGUCCACGGCCCCCGUGGGGCCUCGAUUACAAGGACCGGGGCACGGAAACCUUGGUCAGCGGGGCUGUCCUCGAGAGAACCGCGUGAGGUCUGCGCGGAGGGACUGCGCUUCAAGCCACCGCGGCCACAUGGGAUCCGAGGUUUUGGAUACCUUUAAGGAUGUGGCCAUGACCUUCACCCAGGAAGAGUGGGGACAGCUGAACCUGGACCAGAGGGCCCUGUACCAGGAAGUGAUGGCGGAGACCUGCAGAUUCCUGGUCUCACUGGGAAAGGGCUCACCCCUCACCCCUGGGCAAGCAGCCUUCUUGAUUUCUAGCUGAUCAAGAAGGACAGAGGAGCUACCUUCCCUCCUCCCCAAACACCCUGCAGUUUUCUGGUUCCUUCUUCUCCCUCCUGUAUCUGCAUCAAGGAUCAUUGGGAUAGAAACAACAUCCUUCCGAACACAAAGCCUCACCCCAGUACCCAGCACACUCAGGCCUCAGUCUCAGGUCCGUAUUCCAGAUUCCACAGGAGGGAAGCUGACUGGCCCAGCCUGGUUGGGUCAGGUAUCCCAGGGCCCAAUUAGCAGGGCUGUGAGUGCUGGGCUAUUCUCAGCAAAGAACAGGGGACUGGGUGGUGAGGGAAAAGCUCAAGAUUGAUCUCUGGGAAAACUCUUGGACAACAAGAUUUAGAGACCUGGACUGGUGAACACAAUUGACUUUCUGAGAGGGUGGUGUGCCCGGAGAGAGCGUGGAAGCUCUGAGCUGCAACCUCCCCCCCAUAACUUUCCUAAUACAUGGCUUCCAUUUGGCUGUUCUGAGUUGUUACCUUUAUAAUAGGCCAAUAAAUAUAAUAGUGUUUUCCUGAGUUCUGUGCUCCAGUCCAGCAAAUUAUCAAAACUGGGAGGCAGGUCAUAGGAGUCCCCAAAUUUGUAGCUGGGUUGGGCAAAAGUAUGGGUAGUGUGGGGACCCAGGACUUUUUUUUUUUUUUUAAGAUUUUAUUUAUUUAUCUGAGAGAGAGAGAGCACAUGAGAGGGGGGAGGGUCAGAGGAAGAAGCAGACUCCCUGCUGAGCAGGGAGCCUGAUGCGGGACUCAAUCCAGGGACUCCAGGAUCAUGACCUGAGCCGAAGGCAGUUGCCCAACCAGCUGAGCCACCCAGGCGCCCAG